rnacentral:rRNA from 1 species
AGCAGCCGCGGUAAUUCCAGCUCCAAUAGCGUAUAUUAAAGUUGUUGCAGUUAAAAAGCUCGUAGUUGAAUUUCGGGAUCAAUAUGUCGGUCGUGCCUUGGUACGUACUGGUAUCAUUGGUCUCUCCUUUCUGACGAACCAUGAUGUCAUUAAUUUGGUGUUAUGGGAAGUUAGGACUGUUACUUUGAAACAAUUAGAGUGUUUAAAGCAAGCUAACGCUUGAAUACAUUAGCAUGGAAUAAUGAAAUAGGACGUUCGAUCCUAUUUUGUUGGUUUCUAGGAUUGACGUAAUGAUUAAUAGGGAUAGUUGGGGGCAUUAGUAUUCAAUUGUCAGAGGUGAAAUUCUUGGAUUUAUUGAAGACUAACUACUGCGAAAGCAAUUUGC